UCAGGAUGAACGCUAGCUACAGGCUUAACACAUGCAAGUCGAGGGGCAGCGAGAAGGAAGCUUGCUUCUUGUCGGCGACCGGCGCACGGGUGAGUAACGCGUAUCCAACCUCCCCUUAGUAGGGCAUAGCCCGUAGAAAUGCGGAUUAAUACCCUAUGUUAUUCGUCGAUGACAUCUGAAGUGAAUCAAAGGUUUACCGCUAAGGGAUGGGGAUGCGUCUGAUUAGGCAGCAGGCGGGGUAACGGCCCACCUGGCCUACGAUCAGUAGGGUUCUGAGAGGAAGGUCCCCCACAUUGGAACUGAGACACGGUCCAAACUCCUACGGGAGGCAGCAGUGAGGAAUAUUGGUCAAUGGGCGAGAGCCUGAACCAGCCAAGUAGCGUGCAGGAUGACGGCCUAUGGGUUGUAAACUGCUUUUAUGGUGGGGAUAAAGUGAGGGACGUGUCCCUUAUUGUAGGUACCACAUGAAUAAGGACCGGCUAAUUCCGUGCCAGCAGCGGC
rnacentral:rRNA from 1 species